AAUUAUUCUAAAAUUUACAAAAAUUAAGAAUAUUAUCUAAUCUGUGUUGGCUUAAAUGGGUCAGCAUCCUGCCCUGUGGCGGGAGAUCAUGUUGAGCCGAGUCACGUUUGAAAUAGUGUAAGACUAGGUAGCUAGGCCGAGUCAUGUUCGAAGUGAUGUGAGGCUUGGUGGGCCGAGUCACAAUUGAGACCCGUGGGCACUAUAUCUAUACGCUUUAAGUGAAUUGAUUGUAUAUUUCUAACAGCUCGAGUUUUGGAAAUUAAUGGUUAGCGCUAACAAUCCGACAAUCUGUACUGCUAUACCGAAUAACUUGUAAAUUAAAAAAAAAUAUCUACCAAUAUAAGAUUCAAUAUUAUUUUUUUGUUUUUUUCCCAUGAAAAUAAUUUAUGUUGUUUUUAAAAAGAUGGAGGGAUAAUUUAUUUGAAAACCCAAUGGUCCAUAAAUCUCUAAGAAUUAGUUCAAUUCUCAUUUUGAGUUUCAAAACUUAAAAAGGGGCUUAUUAUUUGGCAAAAUCAUCCUUUCAAUUAUAAAAGUAUAUGCUUCCUUUCUUAAUACAAAAACUACAUAAAAAACUUUUGACACAUAAUCUCUCUCUUCUAAUUAAAUAAACCAUAGUAUUCUUUAAUUUUUUUCAAAAGAUUGUCAAUAGGGCUACAAACAGGGCAGAUUCGGGGGCGGUCUCACCUCCCGCUUCAUUUUCUUUGUCAAGUCAGAAUGGAUUCGGAUAGAUUAAUUUUAAUCAUAUUUUCAGCCCUACUUCCUACUCCAUUCGUUGCGGAUCAGAACGGAAGCGAAUUUUUGACGAAUUUUGACAGAUCGAGACGGGUCAAAGAAGGAAAAGGGUCUCCCACCUCUCGCGCUCCAUUUACUUGGCGAACGGAGCAGAUUCCAGACGGUUAUAUUUUUCUAUGUUUUUUUGUUCUCACUUAUCGCCACCCAAUUCGGGACAGAUCAGAAUAGAAGCUUCACCAACAUUGAUCGCCAUUUGCAUCCCUAAUUGCCAAUAGAUCUCCUAAUCCAAACCCCAUCUAUUGCU
rnacentral:lncRNA from 1 species